rnacentral:rRNA from 1 species
GACGUAGGGCGCGAGCGUUGUCCGGAUUUAUUGGGCGUAAAGAGCGUGUAGGCGGCCAGGUAGGUCUGGUGUGAAAACUCGAGGCUUAACCUCGAGAUGUCAUCGGAAACCAUCUGGCUAGAGUCCGGAAGAGGAGAGUGGAAUUCCCGGUGUAGCGGUGAAAUGCGCAGAUAUCGGGAAGAACGCCCGUGGCGAAGGCGGCUCUCUGGGACGGUACUGACGCUGAGACGCGAAAGCGUGGGGAGCGAACAGG